rnacentral:sRNA from 1 species
AUUUUAUUUAUUUAUUU